AAGGCCCAGACAGCCAGGAGGUUGGCUUAGAAGCAGCCAUUCCUUUAAAGAGUGCGUAAUAGCUCACUGGUCGAGUCGGUUUGCGCGGAAGAUUUAACGGGGCUAAAACUACAUACCGAAGCUACGGAUCGCAAUUUAUUGCGAUGGUAGGAGAGCGUUCUGUAAGCCGUUGAAGGUGAACUGUGAGGUUUGCUGGAGGUAUCAGAAGUGCGAAUGCUGACAUGAGUAACGAUAAAGGGGGUGAAAAACCCCCUCGCCAGAAGUCCAAGGUUUCCUACGCAACGUUAAUCGGCGUAGGGUUAGUCGGCCCCUAAGGCGAGGCAGAAAUGCGUAGUCGAUGGGAAAUGGGUUAAUAUUCCCAUACUUCAUAUAACUGCGAUGGGAAGACGGAGAAAGUUAACGCAGCUUGGCGAUGGUUGUCCAAGUUCAAGCGUGUAGAGUAGGUUCUUAGGAAAAUCCGGGAAUCUUAGAUUUAGUUCUAAAGCUUAAGGCGUGAUAACGAACCCUCUUUUGGGAAAAGUGCGUGAUACUAUGCUUCCAGGAAAAUCCUCUAAGCUUCAGGUUAUAUGAAACCGUACCCCAAACCGACACAGGUGGACGAGAUGAGAAUUCUAAGGCGCUUGAGAGAACUCGGGUGAAGGAACUAG
rnacentral:rRNA from 1 species